UCGUAUACAGGGGAAAUUCCUUGUAUACGGCGGAUUUGUCGGCGUGCCCGGGGAACGAGACAUCCGGGGCGUGACAGACUUAAAUAAAACAAAACUGAAAUGUUCGGCAGUAAAAUCAAAAUUUUGAAAGGUUGGUAUAGCCAACUAAAAAUCGUUCAUAGUUCAAACAAAUUCUAUACAUUCUCACCAAAAAAAUAAUAAUAAUGCUAAAUUUACAAUCCAAGGUGGGUUGUAAUCUUACAACUGUUUUGUCCAAAAGCCACCUUUUCUCCGCAAGUCUUAUCGCUUCUUUUGUUUUUUUUGCUUUUUUAGUAAAAUAAAACAAGGUUGUUUUUAAUAUUAGAGAACAGUAUUUUUAAUAUUUAUAUUCAAUACUUCAUCUCAUGUCUAGACUUGAGACCUCAAGAUCUUUUGUGAAUUAAAUAAAUAAAAAUUAAAUAAUAUUAGGUGUAUUGUUUGACUCGAAUUUAGGAUUUUUCUUUUCUUAUAUCAUAUUAAAUUAUAUGAAACAACUGUUUUCAUCGAAAAUUUAAGCUAUUAGGUAACUGUAUUUUUAAUAUUUAUAUUCACGAGAAAGCAAAUAUAAAUAGAGAUAUUUGAAUCCCAACAUGUAUUUGAAGGAAAAUACAAAUUCGAAUUCAAAUUCAACUAUAAAAAAUUAUUAAUUUAUUACUAAAUUCACGUCCUAAUUGAAUC
rnacentral:lncRNA from 1 species